UUUAAUUACUGCGUUGCUAAGGGAAUUCAAAUGAGAAUUUUUGGUUGGCUUCCUUUGUUGACGCAGCCCAGUGACUUCGGCCUCUGCCAUUAGUCAUGCAUACUCCUUUUCUUUUUCGCCCUCUUGCACACGCACCAACUCUGACCAGCGUGCCGAAAGAUUUUAAUUCGACCCUUUCCCAACACAAUUCAAUUUUUUUAACGCUCCAAAAAAAAUUUAUUCCUGACGAGCUUCCCAGAAAUUAAUAACAAUCAAGAGCAGGUAAGACCGAAAUCCGGCAAACAGAAAAAUUUGAUGCAGCUGAGAGCGAUAAACUUUCUCUGCGUUUCCAAGUGGCGCGCGCCGCUCGAUGUAUUGAAUGUUGGCUUUUAAUGUGGCGCGGCAGGUCCGGCUGAGAAGUCGUGUGGAAUGCCUGCUGGGCUACGAAAUAAAGGGGCCCCUACCCUGGCCAAUCAAGGCUAUCCCACGGAUUCACACAGUCCAAAUCACGAGCGAGAGCGCAUUGUCUCGCGAGAAGGGUCAUGCCCGAGUGACCAGCAAGGUCAACAGCCCCCUCUCCUCCGUCGCCGCUACGGCAACCCACCCACGACUUGCCUCUCAAAAGAGCACUCGGCUUGCAAUUAAAAGAUUUCAAACUUAUUCUUCUUCUUUAAUUUAAAUUUUCCAAAAAAGUUGAAACACCUUUGCCUCUCACGGGUAUUAUUGCAGUGUGCAUAAAAUUAAAUUUGAGAGCAAAGAGCGGGCGAGAGUCGCAGGAUUAGGUGGAAAAUAAUGCCCUGCGCUUGCUCGCUCCCGUCCACAACGAGCAAGAAAAACCACAGCCGGCCGGGCAUGAAUAUGCAGCACGGUUGUGAGUCUGGCUGGGGCACUACUUAUCCUCUCGUUUCGGCCGCACUGGAAUCAGAUAAAGGGCCUCGUUAAAAUUUCACCGCUCCACGCGAAUUACCAAAGACGAAUUUCAAUUCCAUCACCGGCGACAACACAAACAAACAGACUUGGUUUUUUUUCGCUCACUCUUGCACCUUUAAUCCGAGCCUGGCUAGGAGGUCGCUCGUGAGACUUGAGAUGAAAAAUAAGAACUCGCUUGCCCGUCCAGCAGCGUGGAAUAUUUCAAGCUCCCUGGUUCUUUACGAGAGAGCAGUAAUGAUGAGAGACCAGACCAACUCCGCUUUAAUAAGGAUGCUGGCAGGAGAAAAUGCUUCUUGAGGGUCCAUCAAGCCACCGUUUGCCUCGUGUCCUUCAAAUACACGCCCUUUAACUUUUUUUCCGAGCAAAAGCUGCAUUUUUACUUAGCUUUUUAAUGAUGAGAAUGGAAUUCCAGUUGUUCGAGCGCUUUCAGAUUUAA